CUGCUUCUUCCCAGUUGCAAGAGCUCUCUGGAGGUGGUCCGCUACAGAGAAAGUGGAAUGAUAGCUGCAAAGAGGACUCUCAGGGAGGACUCUGUGAUGGGCCAUCAUCCAAACCGGUGGAUCUGUGGUGAUGCAGCUUUUGGGAUCUGCCAAUUGCAACACAGAAGCACUCGGCUACAAUUCCAGCAAACCAGAAGUGGAGGCAGGAGAAUCGGGAGCUCAAGUCCAGCCUGAACUACCAGAUUCUGCUUCAAGGCAUCAGACCACAGCAGAAGGAAGUAUAAAACAAAGCUGCCAGAAUUCAUGGGAAGAGGUGCCUGUGCAAAGACCCUGCUUCCUUGAAUAAAGGAUUGAGUCUUUGUUACUGAUAA
ensembl:antisense Gm43449 predicted gene 43449